UUCCAAAUAUUAACUGGUCUCGUGAGAUGUCUUCUUGGCUGCAGCCUGACCAUCUAACUUACUGUUUUUCCUCCAGCUGCUGCCUCCUGCUUUCCCUCUGCUGCAGGCUGGAAUGAAGGGCGGCGGGUGGCGCGGGGGAGGAGAAGGAGGAGCAGCAAAGUUGGCCAGGGUCCUGCUGGCUGGGGGCCAGGACUGCCUCCCUAAACAAGCAAGCAGGGGCGCAUACAGCCCUGGGUUGAGUUGUUGCCCUUAAUCAUCUGGCCACAGCAGGAAUAAGAGGCUCCCGGAAAACCCUGGCUCUUGGCUAUCUCUUCCAUGAGCACACCCUGGCCCUGGGGCCUGAGAUCUCUCCAUGCAGAGGCAGCCAUGAACUGCGGGGGCAGCAGCAAGGCUGGCCACACCACCCACCCCGCCACCUCCGGCCCCGCCGCUCAACCAGCCAUCAGUCCCUUAACUGCGAGUGUUCGUGGACCAUACAAAACAACCAAGUAGAAAUUCGAACAGCUUAGAGAAAUGAAGAGCAGGCUGAGUGUGGUGGCUCACGCCUGUAAUCCCACCACCUUGGGAGACCGAGGCAGAUGGAACAUCUGAGGUCAGGAGUUCAGCAGCUCCAGACCAGCCAGGGCAACAUGGUGAAAUCCUGUCUCUACUAAAAAUACAAAAAAUUAGCCGGACGUGGUGGUGGGCACCUGUAAUCCCAGCUACUCGGGAGGCUGUGGCAGGAGAAUUGCUUGAACCCAGGAGGUGGUGGAGACUGUAGUGAGCCGAGAUCUCGCCAUUGCACUCCAGGCUGGGCGACAAGAGCAAAACUCCAUCUCAAAAGAAAAAAGAAAAAAAAAAGAAAGAAAGAAAAGGAAAGGAAAGGAAAGAAAAGAAAAGAAAAAGAAAAGAAAAGAAAAGAAAAGAAAAGAAAAGAAAAGAAAAGAAGAGAUGAAAAGAAAAG
rnacentral:lncRNA from 1 species